rnacentral:rRNA from 1 species
AGUUCAGGGAGGUAGUGACAAUAAAUACCUUACAGAGGUCUCGUUAACCGAGAUCUCUCAAACGGAAUGAGUACAACGUGAAUCCUUUAACGAGGAUCGACUGGAGGGCAAGCCUGGUGCCAGCAGCCGCGGUAAUUCCAGCUCCAGUAGCGUAUAUUAAAGCUGUUGCGGUUAAAAAGCUCGUAGUUGGAUAUCAGUGCGUGUCCGGUCCGGUAUGCCUGGCGGCGGCGCUCGCGCGUCACUGCUGGGCUCCCAAAUAUCGGCUGGCCGCAUUCAAUCGUGCCGGAUCCGUCGCCGGGCCGUUCUUCGGAGGGGCCUGGCGGCGACCGGCGACGUUACCUUGAACAAAUUAGAGUGCUCAAAGCAGGCUCUGAAUGCCUGUAUACAUAUUCAUGGAAUUGGAGAAUACGUCCCUGGCUCGAUUUGGUUGGUUUUGAGAGUCGAAGGGAAAUGAUUAAUAGGGACUGACGGAGGCAUUCGUAUUGCGACGCGAGGGGUGAAAUCCUGUGACCGUCGCACGACGAACUACUGCGAAAGCAUUUGCCGAGAAUGUUUUCAUUAGUCAAGAACGAAAGUUAGAGGUUCGAAGGCGAUCAGAUACCGCCCUAGUUCUAACCGUAAACGAUGUCGACCAGCAAUCCGCAACGGUCACUACACGGACUGUGCGGGCAGCUUCCCCGGGGAAACCAGAGUUUUUGGACUCCGGGGGAAGUAUGGUUGCAAAGCUGAAACUUAAAGGAAUUGACGGAAGGGCACCACCAGGAGUGGAGCUUGCGGCUUACUUUGACUCAACACGGGACAACUCACCAGGCCCGGACACCGUAAGGAUUGACAGACUGAUAGCUCUCUCUUGAUUCCGUGGGUGGUGGUGCAUGGCCGUUGUUAGUUGGUGGACUGAUUUGUCUGGUUUAUUCCGAUAACGAACGAGACUCUGGCCUAUUAAACUUGACACCGUCAGUCUCUUGCGA